CUCCAGACUCCUACGGGAGGCAGCAGUGGGGAAUAUUGGGCAAUGGAGGCAACUCUGACCCAGCAACGCCGCGUGAAUGAUGAAGGUCUUCGGAUUGUAAAGUUCUUUUCUAAGGGAAGAAGAAAGUGACGGUACCUUAGGAAUAAGCACCGGCUAACUCCGUGCCAGCAGCCGCGGUAAUACGGAGGGUGCAAGCGUUACUCGGAAUCACUGGGCGUAAAGAGCGCGUAGGCGGGAUAGCAAGUCAGAUGUGAAAUCCUAUGGCUUAACCAUAGAACUGCAUUUGAAACUGUUAUUCUAGAGUAUGGGAGAGGUAGGUGGAAUUCUUGGUGUAGGGGUAAAAUCCGUAGAGAUCAAGAGGAAUACUCAUUGCGAAGGCGACCUGCUAGAACAUAACUGACGCUGAUGCGCGAAAGCGUGGGGAGCAAACAGGAUUAGAUACCCCGGUAC
rnacentral:rRNA from 1 species